rnacentral:rRNA from 1 species
GAUGAACGCUGGCGGCGUGCCUAAUACAUGCAAGUCGAGCGAACAGACGAGGAGCUUGCUCCUUUGACGUUAGCGGCGGACGGGUGAGUAACACGUGGAUAACCUACCUAUAAGACUGGGAUAACUUCGGGAAACCGGAGCUAAUACCGGAUAAUAUAUUGAACCGCAUGGUUCAAUAGUGAAAGACGGUGUUGCUGUCACUUAUAGAUGGAUCCGCGCCGCAUUAGCUAGUUGGUAAGGUAACGGCUUACCAAGGCAACGAUGCGUAGCCGACCUGAGAGGGGGGUCGGCCACACGGGAGCGUGGCCAGGGUCAAGACGCCUACGGGAGGCAGCAGAAGGGAAUCUUCCGCAAUGGGCGAAAGCCUGACGGAGCAACGCCGCGUGAGUGAUGAAGGACUUCGGAUCGUAAAACUCUGUUAUUAGGGAAGAACAAAUGUGUAAGUAACUAUGCACGUCUUGACGGUACCUAAUCAGAAAGCCACGGCUAACUACGUG